GUAUCCCUGAGGAUAGAAAGGUUUGAUCCCUGGCCUCAAUCAGUGGGUUAAGGAUCCAGCGUUGCCAUGAGCUGGGGCGUAGGUUCCCAGGCUAGGGGUCCAAUCAGAGCUGUAGCCGCCAGCCUACACCAGAGCCACAGCAACUCGGGAUCCGAGCCGCGUCUGCAACCUACACCACAGCUCACGGCAACACCGGAUCCUUAACCCACUGAGCAAGGCCAGGGAUCGAACCCACAACCUCAUGGUUCCUAGUCGGAUUCGUUAACCACUGAGCCACCACGGGAACUCCAGGUUGGUUUUUUUAAAUGCAAGUUUUAUAUGAAAUAUAAUAUACACCAUAGAAACAUACACAAAUGCUUGAUAUACAGCUUGAUGAAUUUUUUUUGAAUGAACGUAACUACAUAACCACACUGAGAUCAAGAAACGGAACAUCGCUGGCCCACCUGAAUACUCCCUUAUUCCCCUUUCAAUCACAGUCUCACUUUACCAUAAAUAAAUUUUGAAUGUUUUUGAAAUUUAUGUAAGUGAAUUCCUAAUUUCAUUCUCUUUUGUGUCUGGCUUCUUGUGCUCAACAUUAUGUUUGUGAGAUUCAUCCAUGUUUGCAAUGUGUCAUUGUGAUUUGUUUAUCCUCCUUGCUGUAUAAUAUUCUAGUACAUGAAUAUAUCACAGUAUCAAUCUACCCUGCUGUUAAUGGGCAUUUAGGUGGUGUCCUUUUAGUCUAUUAUAGAUUUUGCUGCUAAUUAUCAUUCUAGUUCAUGUCUCUUGGAGAACAUAUGCAAACAUUUCUACUGUAUAUGCAUAUGCUUUUAUUGGGCAUAUUUGUAAUAGUAUAUGCAUAUGUUCAGUUUUGGUAGACCCUGCCAAACUGUCUUCAAAGUGGUCUUCUCUUUCCUUUUAAAAAGGAAUGUAGCUGAAGGUUCUUGUAAAUAAAUGAAUUACUCUGUUUACCGUAUGAAUCUGUUUGCCAAAAUUAUAUCGAUAGCCUACACUUCCAGUAAUAUCGCUGUUGUAUAAAGCGAAGUAUGUCUGGGCGAGUUUGUAACUUUAUUUCUGAGAUUUCCUUUUCCUGGGAAUUCUUCGCUCUAUCACUAAAAAGCCAUUUGAUGAUUUCAAAUAUGGCAGAGCUUAAACUGGUUGAUUUUCAGUAGUCGUUUCAGUGCUCAUUCUAAGCUUUUCUCACCUUUCAAUUCUGUGACCAUAACCCUUGAAUUAUUUGCUUGUGCUCGCCGAGUCUUGGCUUGCAGCAGGGCCCCUCCACAGAGGGUACAUACCCACUGUCGUUCUUCAGCUCAAACAACAUUCGCAAAAGUUCUGCCUUCAAAACAGUCUAAAGAAUUGUUAUUGAGCAAUUUCCCAAAUUAUGUACGUUUUUUCCCUUCUGGUUUCAGACGUUUUAUGCUCCCUUUCAUCCUUACCAUCACCAUGUCAUUUCUUGCCUGCCUCCUGUGGACAGAGCACAGAGGGAAACACUCACUUUACAUGUGUUAUUUCAUUUAAUUUUCAUAGCAGGCCCAUCAAAUAGGAAUCAUCACAGCUUAUUGAGCCAAGGCACAGAGAGGUGUUAAGUUGCUCCAGAACAGCUCACAAGUGGCAGAAUCGAGGUUCUAACCACAGGGCACAAGACUCUGAAGUCAGAGCUCUUUCCUUCUAAUAAACAUCCUCACGUCCCUAUAUCCCUCCCUUGGAAGUGCUUAAAUUACAAAGAACAAAACACCUCCUGCACAGAACUCUGAAGCAAAUGUUCUGUUCAGUCAAGUUCAUUAGCUGGUUGUCAGGAGAAAUCCCCAGAAAAUGCCUGUUAUCUGUGCUUUCAGUCAGUAAAUGUUGAAAACUCUGCAUCUGUGAACUCUUUGUCCUUCUCUCCUUGCCAACCAGCUCAGUAUUCUGCUGCCAACACAACCUUUCUCUCCUAUCCCUGAUACUUGAUACCCCAUACUUGAUUCACACUGGAUUCCAAAUCAAUUGUAAAUUGUUAGCCAAUUGCAAAUCCAGACUACUUCCCACUCCUGCUCGGCACCCCCUUCCCAUCUCCCUCUGGCUGUCUUCUAGUCCCACGGCCAUCAAAUUGAGCUUUCACCAUUAUGUCUGCUCAUCAUCUGUUAUUUCAGAUCUGAGCAAAGCAAUGGAGACAAUUCCUUUCUUUCAGCAUCUGUGCUCUCUAGGAGGUUAAUGUGGCAAUAUUUGUAAUGAUUAUGAAAAGGAGGCUUUACUUUGAUCCUUCCUGCCUGUAGCUACAGUUCUGGCUUUAUUUUUAUGGCCAGACUUUUGGUGUCUGGGACUAUGAUUCUAAGACUACAAAAUAUUUCAAUGGCAAAGGGAAAGAUUCUAAUAUCCAACCUCCACGGUAAUUAAUAGCUUCUAUUUAAGCUCCUAGCGUGUGUUAGGCAUUAUUCAGGGUACACUGUAUAAGAUGUAUGGCAUAUUAAUUUAUCAACAUGACAACCCUGUGAAUUUUGUUAGUCCCAUUUACAGAUGAGGAAAUUGAGGCAGGGGGAGUUAAGCCAUUGACUCAUGGGUAUCAGCUGAAAAGCGGUAGCCUCAGGAUUCGAACCCAGGCAGUCUAACUCUAGUCAUGUUUAUUCAUUCUGCUCCUCUGCCCAAUGGUGGAUAAGUCCUGGAACGAGUCCUCUGUCUGAAGCUAGGAAAGUGGAAUGGGCCCUGGCUGUGCCACUUAUUAGAGGGGAGAGGACAAUUUUCCUAUUUGUAAAAUAAGGACAAGCCAGGUUGAUGUGAUAUUCAGCAAGAGUGGUGCACGUGAAAGUGCUUUGUGAGCUACAAAGCAAAGGCUAGAGGCGGCAUCAUGACCGUUGUCUCCUCGCAUUACUCUCCUUGAGAUGCAGCCUCAGUUCAUUGAGAUUUGAUUCAAAGCACAUGAUGGGUCUGCAAGGCGCUGGCAUUAAUAACCACCUGAUAUUUUGCUUUAUCACCAUUUCUGCUCUAUCCAAACUAUGAAAACACCCAGAUUUUGCCCCUUUGAAAGAACAUAAAAUAUUGGAAGAUUUCUGAAAGUAGGCUCCACUUGAUAUUGGAGUUCCGCUUUCACAGACCUACUGACGCCAAAGUCCAGUUUGUAGAGGAGCCCCAGGCCCCCGAUAUAUGCAAGGAGUGAUGCUUAGGAAGAGCCUCCAAGGGUUGUGGGUUCUUGGAAGGAUUAGGGUCCAGCCCUGCUCAGUUUUCUGUGCCAAGUUCCUGAGCAGCUUGAUUUCUAGGGAAAAUACCUAAUUGCUGGUGUGGCAGCAUCUUAGGUAGGAAACAGCAAGGCGUAGUGGAAAGAACACAGGGAGAUUUGGGUCCCGUUGAAUGCUGACUCCUCACAAUAUCACCAGAUUCCCUGCAGUUAAGACGAGGCUGAGUUUAUUGCUUGCCUCAGUCAAGCAAGCACCACCUAGGUGGAGUUUUAACUUCUCAGAGUGAGGAGAGUGAAGUUGGGACAUUUAGGAGGCUUUGAGGAAGCCUUAACUAGGAUUGGAUGAGAAUCAGCUAUAAUAGUUUAAGACUAGUGAACACAGUAAGGCAAGAGGGGUCGUGGAGCCAUUGGAUGCUGUAUUGGUAAAACCAGGCAGUUUGCAGUAGGUUUUGGGGAAGUCUCUGUUAUUUGCAACUUUUAUCUUCUUGGCCAAGACUUUCCUGGAAGAGCAGAGUAUGUUGAUGAAGCCAGUGAAAUAGUAGUUUUGGCAGUGAAGUCAGCAGAAUAGUCCCAUUAGGGUAGACAGUGAGCCACGAUGGUGUAGACAGUUUUUAGCUCUCAGCCUGAACCCUGGCAGCAGCUUAGCAGAUGUGUGACCUAGGUCAUUAUCUGUGAAAUGGUGACACUCAUACUGACUUUGCAAGGUAUUUUGGAGGAUUGAAUCAUAGGAUAUGUAUAAAAUACCUUGGACAGAGUAAGUAGUCAACUACUAGCGAGUUUCUGAACUUUCAGAAAUAAUAUCCGAAAUCAUCGUGAAGAACUUGUCUUUGCGAAUAGGAAGCUGCUGUCAUAGCUGAUGGUUCAAGAAUCACGCUGCUGUAGCCAUGAUCCCUGGCAGCAGAGCAGAUGUGCUGCACCCUGCCUUUCUCUGCAUGUGACUUAGCUCCUGAUCAAACUCCGGUGCGGGGAAUUCCGUGGUGUCUCUUGGGGUUAAGGAUCCAGUGUUUUCCCUGCUGUGGUGUGGGUUUGAUCCCUGGCGCCAGAACUUUCUCAUGCCAUGGGCAUGGCCAAAAAGGAAAAAAACAAAAAACAAAAAACAAAACUUGUCCAGUGCAUCUCCUUGUUAGAACCUAAUUCACACACAGAAGCCCAGCUGCAAGGGCAUCUGGGGGGUAUGUAUGGUUUUUGCUUUUCUGGCCUCUGCAUCCUAUGGAGAGGUUGGACUGGGUAUAGAGCAAAGCAGUUCAUGUUACCCACCACAGACAGCAUGCUAUUGAAGCUUAACUCUCAAGGCACGGGUGGCUUCCUGAGCAAGGAACCCCAUGCUCUCUGCUCUUUCCCCAUCUUUGUCAUUUCACUGCCCAUUAGACUCCUAACCACCAAAGGGAGCAAAGGCAAGGAGAGGAUGAGAAAUAAAUUGCUCUGCUUUGCUUCUUGCAGAUGAAAGAGGUAAGGUGAAAAAUUAUUGGCUGCUGGCAUAAUACACAGAGCAUCAGAGUUAAAGAAUUAUGCUUGAGUCUCUGGGCAGGUUCGUUGUCCCCAUUCUACCCACCCCAGGUUUUGGGCACGGAGAUGAGCCCCAUGACCCAGAGAGUGAACACAUCCUUCCCCUCCCACCUCCACCACACCUGCACUUGGCCUGCUCUUCAUUUAGUCAUUCAACAAGCAGGCCACAUGCCACAGUUAGAUGAGCAAUCAGUACCUCUACUGGGCACCCAAAUGUUUCCCACCUCCAUCUUGCAAAUCUGUUUGAGAUCACUCCUCUGAAUGAGGGAGGGAAAGAGCACUGUUUGAAGAACCUGGAAGCCUGGGUUUUUGUCCUAGAUCAGCCCAUUUCUCUGCUGUGUGUAUUGGUCAGCUCAGGCGGCCAUACCACAGACUGGGUGGCUCAAACAACAGAUACGAAUUUUCUCACAACUCCAGAGGCUGAAAGUCCAAAAUCAAGGUGUCAGCAGGUUUAGUUUUUCCUUAGGCAUCUCUCCUUGGCUUGCAGAUGGCUGCCUACUUGCUGUCCUCACAGCCUCUUCCACAUGUGUGCAUGUCUUAUAGGGACACUGUGGAUAAGGGGCCCAUUCUCAGGCUCUCCUUUGCCUUAGUGACCUCUCGAAAGGCCUUCUCUCCAAGUAUAGUCAUACUGAGAGUUAGGGAUUCAGUGUACCAUUUGGGAGGCCAUACACUGUGUGGUCUUGGACAAGUCCUGUCACCUCUGGCCUCAGUUUCAUGCACAACCUGAGAGGACUGGGGCAUAUGGCUUCCUUUCAGCUCUUUGGCUCUAUCAUUUCUUUGGGGACAUUCAACUCCUAAGUGACAACUCAGGAAGUGACUUGUUUUCUUGAAGCGAGACCAGUGGCUUCGAUCACCCUGUGACCCCCUUCCCACUGCAGAGUCCAUUCCUGCUCAGUUUCCAUCACUCUUCUAGCCCUUUCCACACUCUCUGCUUUGUACUUGUACCGAUUUGUUGGCACGUCUGUCUUCCCCAGAGUCUU
rnacentral:lncRNA from 1 species